GAUUACAAAUAUGGUUUUAUUAUCUUGGUCCAAAUUCGUGAAGCGGUUCUACAGCUUAUGAAAGAGUUUGCUUUUUUGGUUUAAUUAAUUUAUGUGAUUCUGAAGAUUGGAAAGAUGUCCUGAUUAUCGUGGCACAAGUUCGAGGAGAGAAUCUACGGCUUAUGAAAAGAACAACACUUUUGUGCUAAUUAAUUUGUUGCAAUAUAAUUAGAACAUAUGUGUCUUAUUUAUUUCGUCGAAUUGUUGAGUUUAUGCUAAUUUAUGCAAACGUCAUUUUAAGAAUUUCACGGUUUAAAACCUUUGUCGUA